rnacentral:rRNA from 1 species
UACGUAGGUGGCAAGCGUUAUCCGGAUUUAUUGGGCGUAAAGCGAGCGCAGGCGGUCUUUUAAGUCUAAUGUGAAAGCCUUCGGCUCAACCGAAGAAGUGCAUUGGAAACUGGGAGACUUGAGUGCAGAAGAGGAGAGUGGAAUUCCAUGUGUAGCGGUGAAAUGCGUAGGUAUAUGGAGGAACACCAGUGGCGAAGGCGGCUCUCUGGUCUGUAACUGACGCUGAGGCUCGAAAGUAUGGGUAGCAAACAGG